AAUGAACGCUGGCGGCGUGCUUAACACAUGCAAGUCGAACGAGAAAGGGAUUGCUUGCAAUCCUGAGUAGAGUGGCGCACGGGUGAGUAACACGUAGAUAAUCUGCCUUCAAGCCCGGGAUAACUAUUCGAAAGGAUGGCUAAUACCGGAUGAAGUGGUUUAACAUAAGUUAAACCAUGAAAGAUUGCCUCUUCUUGAAAGCAAUUGUUUGGAGAUGAGUCUGCGGACCAUUAGCUUGUUGGUGGGGUAAAGGCCUACCAAGGCUACGAUGGUUAGCUGGUCUGAGAGGAUGAUCAGCCACACUGGAACUGAAACACGGUCCAGACUCCUACGGGAGGCAGCAGUGAGGAAUUUUGCGCAAUGGGGGAAACCCUGACGCAGCAACGCCGCGUGAGUGAAGAAGGCCCUUGGGUCGUAAAGCUCUGUCG
rnacentral:rRNA from 1 species